rnacentral:rRNA from 1 species
UACGGAGGGUGCAAGCGUUAUCCGGAUUCACUGGGUUUAAAGGGAGCGUAGGCGGGCAGGUAAGUCAGUGGUGAAAUCUUCGAGCUUAACUCGGAAACUGCCGUUGAUACUAUCUGUCUUGAAUACCGUGGAGAUGAGCGGAAUAUGUCAUGUAGCGGUGAAAUGCUUAGAUAUGACAUAGAACACCAAUUGCGAAGGCAGCUCGUUACACGAAUACUGACUCUGAGGCUCGAAAGCGUGGGGAUCAAACAGG